rnacentral:rRNA from 1 species
GUCUAUGGCCAUGCCACCCAGAACGGGCCUGGUCUCGUCUGAUCUCAGAAGCUAAGCAGGGUUGGGCCUGGUUAGUGCUUGGAUGGGAGACCACCUAGGAAGACCAGGUGCCGUGAGCA